rnacentral:rRNA from 1 species
CAGCAGCCGCGGUAAUACAGAGGGUGCGAGCGUUAAUCGGAUUUACUGGGCGUAAAGCGUGCGUAGGCGGCUUCUUAAGUCGGAUGUGAAAUCCCUGAGCUUAACUUAGGAAUUGCAUUCGAUACUGGGAAGCUAGAGUAUGGGAGAGGAUGGUAGAAUUCCAGGUGUAGCGGUGAAAUGCGUAGAGAUUUGGAGGAAUACCGAUGGCGAAGGCAGCCAUCUGGCCUAAUACUGACGCUGAGGUACGAAAGCAUGGGGAGCAAACAGGAUUAGAUACCCCCGUAGUCCCUGUCUCUUAUAC